AUCUGUAAUGCAGAUCAGAUCCAGAUCAAACUUUGUCCGUCCAUAAAGGAAACCAUCCUACAGAAUGUUGUCAAAUAUGAAUGAAAUUCAAUCUUUUUUGACAGAGUUAUGCAUUUUUGAAAAUUCAUUCAGUGAUAAAGGAAA